rnacentral:rRNA from 1 species
AGAGUUUGAUCAUGGCUCAGGAUGAACGCUAGCGACAGGCUUAACACAUGCAAGUCGAGGGGCAGCGGGGAGGUAGCAAUACUUCCGCCGGCGACCGGCGCACGGGUGAGUAACACGUAUGGAACCUGCCCGUAGCAGGGGGAUAAACGGAAGAAAUUCCGUCUAAUACCGCGUAAUAACUCCGAGAGGCAUCUCAUGGAGUUUAAAGGGUAACACCGGCUACGGAUGGCCAUGCGGCGCAUUAGCUAGUUGGCGGGGUAACGGCCCACCAAGGCGACGAUGCGUAGGGGUUCUGAGAGGAAGGUCCCCCACACUGGUACUGAGACACGGACCAGACUCCUACGGGAGGCAGCAGUGAGGAAUAUUGGUCAAUGGGCGCGAGCCUGAACCAGCCAAGUCGCGUGAGGGAAGACGGUCCUAUGGAUUGUAAACCUCUUUUGUCGGGGAGCAAAAGACGCCACGUGUGGCGUUCCGAGAGUACCCGAAGAAAAAGCAUCGGCUAACUCCGUGCCAGCAGCCGCGGUAAUACGGAGGAUGCGAGCGUUAUCCGGAUUUAUUGGGUUUAAAGGGUGCGCAGGCGGAAGAUCAAGUCAGCGGUAAAAUUGAGAGGCUCAACCUCUUCGAGCCGUUGAAACUGGUUUUCUUGAGUGAGCGAGAAGUAUGCGGAAUGCGUGGUGUAGCGGUGAAAUGCAUAGAUAUCACGCAGAACUCCGAUUGCGAAGGCAGCAUACCGGCGCUCAACUGACGCUCAUGCACGAAAGUGUGGGUAUCGAACAGGAUUAGAUACCCUGGUAGUCCACACAGUAAACGAUGAAUACUAAUUGUUCGGGGAGAAUGAUCCCUGAGUGAUACAGCGAAAGCGUUAAGUAUUCCACCUGGGGAGUACGCCGGCAACGGUGAAACUCAAAGGAAUUGACGGGGGCCCGCACAAGCGGAGGAACAUGUGGUUUAAUUCGAUGAUACGCGAGGAACCUUACCCGGGCUCAAACGACACAGGAAUACUUUUGAAAGGAGGUAGCUCUACGGAGUCUGUGUCGAGGUGCUGCAUGGUUGUCGUCAGCUCGUGCCGUGAGGUGUCGGCUUAAGUGCCAUAACGAGCGCAACCCCCAUCGCCAGUUACCAGCAAGUCAAGUUGGGGACUCUGGCGAGACUGCCGGCGCAAGCUGUGAGGAAGGCGGGGAUGACGUCAAAUCAGCACGGCCCUUACGUCCGGGGCGACACACGUGUUACAAUGGCAGGUACAGAGAGAAGCAAUGCGGCGACGCAAAGCGGAACUUGAAAGCCUGUCUCAGUUCGGAUUGGAGUCUGCAACUCGACUCCAUGAAGCUGGAUUCGCUAGUAAUCGCGCAUCAGCCAUGGCGCGGUGAAUACGUUCCCGGGCCUUGUACACACCGCCCGUCAAGCCAUGGAAGCCGGGAGUGCCUGAAGUGUGCAACCGCAAGGAGCGCCCUAAGGUAAAACUGGUGACUGGGGCUAAGUCGUAACAAGGUAACCGUA